UCUCCGUAGGUGAACCUGCGGAGGGAUCAUUACAGAGUUCAUGCCCUACCGGGUAGAUCUCCCACCCUAUGUUAUUAUUACUUUGCUGCUUUGGCGGGCCGUUAGGCUCCGGCCCGACUACCGGCCCCGGCUGGUAAGCGCCCGCCAGAGGACCCAAAACCCUGAAUAUUAGUGUCGUCUGAGUACUAUAUAAUAGUUAGAACUUUCAACAACGGAUCUCUUGGUUCUG
rnacentral:misc_RNA from 1 species